rnacentral:rRNA from 1 species
GUUAAGCGACUAAGCGUACACGGUGGAUGCCCUGGCAGUCAGAGGCGAUGAAGGACGUGCUAAUCUGCGAUAAGCGUCGGUGAGGUGAUAUGAACCGUUAUAACCGGCGAUUUCCGAAUGGGGAAACCCAGUGUGUUUCGACACACUAUCAUUAACUGAAUCCAUAGGUUAAUGAGGCGAACCGGGGGAACUGAAACAUCUAAGUACCCCGAGGAAAAGAAAUCAACCGAGAUUCCCCCAGUAGCGGCGAGCGAACGGGGAGGAGCCCAGAGCCUGAAUCAGUGUGUGUGUUAGUGGAAGCGUCUGGAAAGGCGCGCGAUACAGGGUGACAGCCCCGUACACAAAAAUGCACAUGCUGUGAGCUCGAUGAGUAGGGCGGGACACGUGGUAUCCUGUCUGAAUAUGGGGGGACCAUCCUCCAAGGCUAAAUACUCCUGACUGACCGAUAGUGAACCAGUACCGUGAGGGAAAGGCGAAAAGAACCCCGGCGAGGGGAGUGAAAAAGAACCUGAAACCGUGUACGUACAAGCAGUGGGAGCCUCUUAAUGGGGUGACUGCGUACCUUUUGUAUAAUGGGUCAGCGACUUAUAUUCUGUAGCAAGGUUAACCGAAUAGGGGAGCCGAAGGGAAACCGAGUCUUAACUGGGCGUUAAGUUGCAGGGUAUAGACCCGAAACCCGGUGAUCUAGCCAUGGGCAGGUUGAAGGUUGGGUAACACUAACUGGAGGACCGAACCGACUAAUGUUGAAAAAUUAGCGGAUGACUUGUGGCUGGGGGUGAAAGGCCAAUCAAACCGGGAGAUAGCUGGUUCUCCCCGAAAGCUAUUUAGGUAGCGCCUCGUGAAUUCAUCUCCGGGGGUAGAGCACUGUUUCGGCAAGGGGGUCAUCCCGACUUACCAACCCGAUGCAAACUGCGAAUACCGGAGAAUGUUAUCACGGGAGACACACGGCGGGUGCUAACGUCCGUCGUGAAGAGGGAAACAACCCAGACCGCCAGCUAAGGUCCCAAAGUCAUGGUUAAGUGGGAAACGAUGUGGGAAGGCCCAGACAGCCAGGAUGUUGGCUUAGAAGCAGCCAUCAUUUAAAGAAAGCGUAAUAGCUCACUGGUCGAGUCGGCCUGCGCGGAAGAUGUAACGGGGCUAAACCAUGCACCGAAGCUGCGGCAGCGACGCUUAUGCGUUGUUGGGUAGGGGAGCGUUCUGUAAGCCUGUGAAGGUGGCCUGUGAGGGUUGCUGGAGGUAUCAGAAGUGCGAAUGCUGACAUAAGUAACGAUAAAGCGGGUGAAAAGCCCGCUCGCCGGAAGACCAAGGGUUCCUGUCCAACGUUAAUCGGGGCAGGGUGAGUCGACCCCUAAGGCGAGGCCGAAAGGCGUAGUCGAUGGGAAACAGGUUAAUAUUCCUGUACUUGGUGUUACUGCGAAGGGGGGACGGAGAAGGCUAUGUUGGCCGGGCGACGGUUGUCCCGGUUUAAGCGUGUAGGCUGGUUUUCCAGGCAAAUCCGGAAAAUCAAGGCUGAGGCGUGAUGACGAGGCACUACGGUGCUGAAGCGACAAAUGCCCUGCUUCCAGGAAAAGCCUCUAAGCAUCAGGUAACAUCAAAUCGUACCCCAAACCGACACAGGUGGUCAGGUAGAGAAUACCAAGGCGCUUGAGAGAACUCGGGUGAAGGAACUAGGCAAAAUGGUGCCGUAACUUCGGGAGAAGGCACGCUGAUAUGUAGGUGAAGCGACUUGCUCGUGGAGCUGAAAUCAGUCGAAGAUACCAGCUGGCUGCAACUGUUUAUUAAAAACACAGCACUGUGCAAACACGAAAGUGGACGUAUACGGUGUGACGCCUGCCCGGUGCCGGAAGGUUAAUUGAUGGGGUUAGCGGCAACGCGAAGCUCUUGAUCGAAGCCCCGGUAAACGGCGGCCGUAACUAUAACGGUCCUAAGGUAGCGAAAUUCCUUGUCGGGUAAGUUCCGACCUGCACGAAUGGCGUAAUGAUGGCCAGGCUGUCUCCACCCGAGACUCAGUGAAAUUGAACUCGCUGUGAAGAUGCAGUGUACCCGCGGCAAGACGGAAAGACCCCGUGAACCUUUACUAUAGCUUGACACUGAACAUUGAGCCUUGAUGUGUAGGAUAGGUGGGAGGCUUUGAAGUGUGGACGCCAGUCUGCAUGGAGCCGACCUUGAAAUACCACCCUUUAAUGUUUGAUGUUCUAACGUUGGCCCGUAAUCCGGGUUGCGGACAGUGUCUGGUGGGUAGUUUGACUGGGGCGGUCUCCUCCUAAAGAGUAACGGAGGAGCACGAAGGUUGGCUAAUCCUGGUCGGACAUCAGGAGGUUAGUGCAAUGGCAUAAGCCAGCUUGACUGCGAGCGUGACGGCGCGAGCAGGUGCGAAAGCAGGUCAUAGUGAUCCGGUGGUUCUGAAUGGAAGGGCCAUCGCUCAACGGAUAAAAGGUACUCCGGGGAUAACAGGCUGAUACCGCCCAAGAGUUCAUAUCGACGGCGGUGUUUGGCACCUCGAUGUCGGCUCAUCACAUCCUGGGGCUGAAGUAGGUCCCAAGGGUAUGGCUGUUCGCCAUUUAAAGUGGUACGCGAGCUGGGUUUAGAACGUCGUGAGACAGUUCGGUCCCUAUCUGCCGUGGGCGCUGGAGAACUGAGGGGGGCUGCUCCUAGUACGAGAGGACCGGAGUGGACGCAUCACUGGUGUUCGGGUUGUCAUGCCAAUGGCACUGCCCGGUAGCUAAAUGCGGAAGAGAUAAGUGCUGAAAGCAUCUAAGCACGAAACUUGCCCCGAGAUGAGUUCUCCCUGAGACUUAGAGUCUCCUGAAGGAACGUUGAAGACGACGACGUUGAUAGGCCGGGUGUGUAAGCGCAGCGAUGCGUUGAGCUAACCGGUACUAAUGAACCGUGAGGCUUAACCUU